rnacentral:rRNA from 1 species
GAUGAACGCUGACAGAAUGCUUAACACAUGCAAGUCAACUUGAAUUUGGGUUUUUAACUUAGGUUUGGGUGGCGGACGGGUGAGUAACGCGUAAAGAACUUGCCUCACAGCUAGGGACAACAUUUGGAAACGAAUGCUAAUACCUAAUAUUAUGAUAAUAGGGCAUCCUAUAAUUAUGAAAGCUAUAAGCGCUGUGAGAGAGCUUUGCGUCCCAUUAGCUAGUUGGAGAGGUAACGGCUCACCAAGGCGAUGAUGGGUAGCCGGCCUGAGAGGGUGAUCGGCCACAAGGGGACUGAGACACGGCCCUUACUCCUACGGGAGGCAGCAGUGGGGAAUAUUGGACAAUGGACCAAGAGUCUGAUCCAGCAAUUCUGUGUGCACGAUGAAGUUUUUCGGAAUGUAAAGUGCUUUCAGUUGGGAAGAAAGAAAUGACGGUACCAACAGAAGAAGUGACGGCUAAAUUCGUG